rnacentral:rRNA from 1 species
UCUCUUCAGUCAAGUGUAGAGUCACCGAAAACAACAAAUUAAAUGUGUUGUACACGUCCAAGUAUAUCGUCAUACGUACACACUUAUAUUUGAGAAGUACGUUACACCGUCAUUUUCCGGAAAGCUAAAAUGGAAUCCGUGAUGUCCGUCGAUUAUCUAUCCGGGUAACGAACGUACUACUAUUCAAAACUUGACUGCCACAAGAACUGUUAUCAACGUAGUCACGUGUGCUCCAGGUUUCUUCGCAACAAAGUACAAAGUAAAUGAAAAGAUAACGUUAGUGAGUAGGUUUUUCUUAUAAGUCACGUGGACAUUUUGUAGAUUGUUUUUAUUAGUAUCUGGGAAGAAAGAUUUAGUCUUAUAUUGUCAUGAUUUAGUCGAUCUACCCAACAUCUACGAAAUAAUGAGGAACAACUCACUAUUGGUCCCGCCGAGGUAACAUAUUUGUCUAACUACACCACUAUUCUCUACUCCGCCCAUCCAAUAUACUAGCUCCUUUCGACUUAGACUCGGGUGAUACGUUACUUGGGACUUGGGAAAAAUAAACAUAAAUUUCCACAACGAAUAAAUACGAGGUCACAAAUAUCGGCAGAAUACAUUCCUAAAGAAGAGAGAGUAUGGAAAUAACGUAUACUCAACAAGAACUAGAAAAUAACAAACAACCCCCGAAAGAACAAAACAACCCCCGAAAGAACAAAACAACCACGGAAUGGCAGUUCGUCUAGGAACCUAAAUCGAUCCAAUAGACAAAGUAACGAACCAAAAAACGGACAAUUUCUCUUCGAAUCCAGAUAUACCUAAGGACUCCAUUAUAGGUAACAAAGAGUAUCAAAUCAAUGUUGACUAAAGGCUCAAGAUUGAGUAAGUACAAUAAAGUAAUAAAGAGGAGAAACAUGGCGAUAAAUAAAGUUUAAGACUUUAUUCCUACCGGAACCACCGACAUAAAUGAACGCGAAACAAAUAUAUACUAACCAUAAUCUAAGAAACUCUUUUAAACAACAAUGUAAUCACCAGAUCGAUCUAACGUUCUUUCCCCGACAUAGAAGGGAAAGCCACGAGUCGCCCUCCUCACGCGAGCGACGGUCGGGACUGCUCUCCACAGCGGCGGGACCAGUCUAAACCGACGGAGGUGGUGGUGGGUGAAUGUCCUCCGGGGACGGUGAGGAGGAGGUAGCGUACCAGUAGUGACCCUCCUCCUCGUCGAGACGGAUCUCCGUAGCGGUAGCCGAUCUCCCGCAGUCUGAGAGCAGGAACGCAAGUACGUGGAGGCCCUUCUUCUUCUGGGCUCCAUUCGUCGGAGGUUAAACGGCACGCUUAACUCGUCACUCACGGGAGAGGUGAAGGGGGAAGGGACAGAGAGAGUGUGCACCUAAAUGGUCAAGUAAGCGAGUUCUAGACUAUAAAGUUAUACAAGUAAACGUUCCCCAACCUAGGUUCUCCGUCUCUACGUCAGGAGGUCUCGACAACCCUUCUUCUUCUUCUUCUUCUUCUUCUUCUUCUUAACGUUUCCUACCGCUCUAACUCGUAGACUUCAUUUCGAGUCUGGACGUGUACAGGUUCACAGUCAGCGAACUUAACUAACCCGUCUCCCUGUAUCUAUAUUCUCUCUUCCUACCACAGUAAGUCUCGAUGGUAAUAUUCUGUCUACCCCUCGACUACUUGGGUCCCAGGACUGUCUAUAUGGAGUAGAAGGGUCGCCUGUUGUGGAAGGAGCUCCUCCUGCUGAGGUUGAUGAAGUCGAUAGAGCCGACAGGACCGGAAAAUACUUUCUAUUUAGUUACUAAAUACAGUCGUGUUCGAUGGCCGUCGAAGGAGCGCACGUUACGAUAAACUUCUGGUAAGUUCACUAAAUUUUCUCUUCUACAGGUCUUACAGAUUCUUCUAACUUCUACUGCUAGUUUUCUAACUGUAUAAUUCGCUAACGGUUCUACACUUAUUACGAACGGGGACGGAAAUCAUUAUGGAACGAGAAGAAAUGCUUUAGAAAGGAUAAUGUAUAACUACGUUGUUGAACGUUUAAAACUAUAGGGAUAAAUGUAUGUAAUGAGUUGCCGACUGGACAUGUCUCAACGCACCGUCCGUACACAAGAGUCGGUAGAAUAGUUAACAUCCGAAUCGUAUUAAACGAAGCAGAUUGUUAAGGAAACAAACAGG